rnacentral:rRNA from 1 species
GUGCCAGCAGCCGCGGUAAUACGUAGGUGGCAAGCGUUGUCCGGAAUUACUGGGUGUAAAGGGCGUGUAGGCGGGAUGUUAAGUCAGAUGUGAAAUUCCAAAGCUCAACUUUGGCGCUGCAUCUGAAACUGAUGUUCUUGAGUGAUGGAGAGGAAAGCGGUAUUCCUAGUGUAGCGGUGAAAUGCGUAGAUAUUAGGAGGAACACCAGUGGCGAAGGCGGCUUUCUGGACAUUAACUGACGCUGAGGCGCGAAAGCGUGGGGAGCAAACAGGAUUAGAUACCCUUGUAGUCC